rnacentral:rRNA from 1 species
CCUACGGGAGGCUGCAGUGAGGAAUAUUGGUCAAUGGACGAGAGUCUGAACCAGCCAAGUAGCGUGAAGGAUGACUGCCCUAUGGGUUGUAAACUUCUUUUAUAUGGGAAUAAAAUGUUCCACGUGUGGGAUUUUGUAUGUACCAUAUGAAUAAGGAUCGGCUAACUCCGUGCCAGCAGCCGCGGUAAUACGGAGGAUCCGAGCGUUAUCCGGAUUUAUUGGGUUUAAAGGGAGCGUAGGUGGAUUGUUAAGUCAGUUGUGAAAGUUUGCGGCUCAACCGUAAAAUUGCAGUUGAAACUGGCAGUCUUGAGUACAGGAGAGGUAGGCGGAAUUCGUGGUGUAGCGGUGAAAUGCGUAGAUAUCACGAAGAACUCCGAUUGCGAAGGCAGUUCACUGGACUGCAACUGACACUGAGGCUCGAAAGUGUGGGUAUCAAACAGGAUUAGAUACCCGAGUAGUC